AAACAAAAAUAAAUUGAAAACAUCUUCAACUUUCACGAUAAACCUCCAUCUUCUUUCUAUCUAUCGUGAAAGCUCCAUCUCGCCAAACUCCAUCACGUUUCAACCCAGCACCUCACAUCUCCAUCUUCGUCGAACCCUAGUUCCUUUGUUUCGACUCAAUAUCUCCAUCUCCGUUGAACCUCAAAUCUCGUGAUUUCUCUCCCGACCCAGAAAAAACCCACUGUUGAACCCUAAAUUCUUGCUCUGAAAACCUCUGUUUCCCUUACGCCCUUCUUUUAUCGAAUGUAUUUUAGGUUCUCACGAGAAAGGCCAAGAAUCAACAUCCCUGGAAAGGAUUUGGGGCAAUUCGCGUUGAUUUGCAGGAGCUCAAGCCCUUGUGAGCUUUGGAAAGGUUACUCCAGAACAAAAUCAAGAAGUUGAGAAGUUUGAGUUGAUAAUAUAUUCAUGGGAUGAGUUUUUAGAAGCGAUAUGGGUCUAUGGAAAUAAUUGAGUACUUCCUUGUGGCUGUUAUUGACCCAAACAAGCAAGCACUUGAAGCUUGGGCAGGAAAAAAUAAUAUGAAGAUUCUAGGACGAAAAGUUACAUUCUUGGAGAGCUCGUAAAGAUUGCGAAAGAAAAGAAGUUACAUUUGACAUGGAACGCGAUCUUAUAGCACCAACAUUUAAGAAGAAGAUACCCUAGUUGCUUAAACAUUACCAGGUAGCCCUUGUGAGCGUUACCUUAUGCCUUGCUGUUGAAGUUAUGCUUUUUUUCUUUUAGGCACGGUUAAAGCUAUUGAAACUAGAACUUUCUUUGUUUUCCUUUCAUUUCAUCUUUUAUUAUUUUUCGGUAUUAAUUUCAAAACUAAUCAUCAUUGUUGAUCAUUGGAGGGAGAGAAGAAUAGAAGAAAGGAUUUAUUGGGGCAUCACUCUUGCUGCAACCAGAAGGUUAAAAGGAUGAUAAAUUGGUCCAAAUCCAUAAAUAAUACCAAUCUUAUUUUAGAUUAUUUAUUUUAGUUGUUUAAGAGUCUAGUAACAUGCUAACUUGAUUAUCUAGUUUUAUUUGAAAUUUGGUGUAAGGGUUGUAAUCCACAAGGCACUGAGGUUCGGUAAUGUUGUGGUCUGUGAAUUCGAGAAUAAGUCCAAAUAGGUAUGAUUGUUUAUUUAUUUCUUUUAAUAGUUGUCAAUGAGAGGUAUUUAUCAAUCAAAUUAGCUCUUGGUCUGAUGAACAUAGGUGUAUGAGUUGUUUAGUUAUUUCUUUUAAUAGGUGUAUGUUGCUAGCUUACCUGAAUGCAGGUUAGUGACCUUAUAAACCGCCGCAGUGUAUAUAUUUACAACAGAUAUCUAUGUUUCUACCUUACCGCGGUGCGUUGUUGGUGUUGCUCGUACACCAAUAUGGGUAGAGUUUGGAGCUAAGUUUUGGAGACCGUUUAGCUGCAUAAUCAUGUUAUUCUCUGAUGGAUUAGUUUUUCUGCUAUUGUGUUACUGCCUUCCUGUGGUGUGGUGUUUUGUUUGAAGUUCUGGAGGUGUCUUGGUUCCUGUGGUUUUUCAGGGACUUGAAAACAUGAGAGGUACUGCUGACUUGGUUUGGAAAAUGGCAGAGGAGUGCUUAAGUUAAUUUUAGUUUGAUUGUUUUGGUGUUCUGAACUCACCUAGUUGCAGAAAAUGGUAUGCUGGGAGCUUAUUGUGCAGGUUGUUAUUAUUUGAUUAAGGUUGAGGCUCAUAGAACCUUUGUAUUAGUAUAUCUUAGCAUAAGUUAAUUUGUUUUGGUGGUGAGAGUUAUGUACUCAGUUAGCUUCUUGAGGUCAUAGGACCUUUGAAUUAGCAUAAGUUUGUUUUGUUGGUUAGAGAUGUAUUCAAAUAUUGUUUCAGACCAAAUCUAGUAUAUUUUUCAUGUUAUAUCGAAAAAGUACCUUUUAUUCUCUAUAAA